ACGAAUGAACUUUAAAGUGCCCCUCGAGGCGCGACAUCUCACACCUGUGCACCCGGCGGACGUCUCGAGACUCUCGAGGCGUUCACUACAUUUUUUUUUUUUUACAACGAUGCCUGUAACGAAAAGCAUGUCUCUUGAGCUCUACGGAGCGCAAACAACGUUAAUA
rnacentral:misc_RNA from 1 species